AAUCCAUAGGUUAAUGAGGCGAACCGGGGGAACUGAAACAUCUAAGUACCCCGAGGAAAAGAAAUCAACCGAGAUUCCCCCAGUAGCGGCGAGCGAACGGGGAGGAGCCCAGAGCCUGAAUCAGCAUGUGUGUUAGUGGAAGCGUCUGGAAAGGCGCGCGAUACAGGGUGACAGCCCCGUACACAAAAGCGCAUGUGCUGUGAGCUCGAUGAGUAGGGCGGGACACGUGGUAUCCUGUCUGAAUAUGGGGGGACCAUCCUCCAAGGCUAAAUACUCCUGACUGACCGAUAGUGAACCAGUACCGUGAGGGAAAGGCGAAAAGAACCCCGGCGAGGGGAGUGAAAAAGAACCUGAAACCGUGUACGUACAAGCAGUGGGAGCCCCACCACCAAAGCAUUCUCUGGUGUUGAAGGCCCUGCAAAGCAGCAUCGCGGUGGCGGAGCGUCGUUUGCGACGCCCAACACACAAAACAAGCGGUGAGUGCUUUGGGGUGGGGUGACUGCGUACCUUUUGUAUAAUGGGUCAGCGACUUAUAUUCUGUAGCAAGGUUAACCGAAUAGGGGAGCCGGAGGGAAACCGAGUCUUAAUUGGGCGUUAAGUUGCAGGGUAUAGACCCGAAACCCGGUGAUCUAGCCAUGGGCAGGUUGAAGGUUGGGUAACACUAACUGGAGGACCGAACCGACUAAUGUUGAAAAAUUAGCGGAUGACCUGUGGCUGGGGGUGAAAGGCCAAUCAAACCGGGAGAUAGCUGGUUCUCCCCGAAAGCUAUUUAGGUAGCGCCUCGUGAAUUCAUCUCCGGGGGUAGAGCACUGUUUCGGCUAGGGGGCCAUCCCGGCUUACCAACCCGAUGCAAACUGCGAAUACCGGAGAAUGUUAUCACGGGAGACACACGGCGGGUGCUAACGUCCGUCGUGAAGAGGGAAACAACCCAGACCGCCAGCUAAGGUCCCAAAGUCAUGGUUAAGUGGGAAACGAUGUGGGAAGGCCCAGACAGCCAGGAUGUUGGCUUAGAAGCAGCCAUCAUUUAAAGAAAGCGUAAUAGCUCACUGGUCGAGUCGGCCUGCGCGGAAGAUGUAACGGGGCUAAACCAUGCACCGAAGCUGCGGCAGCGAACGUAUCACUUAAAGCGAUUCAGCGGGUUACGAUUGACGGAGCGAAGCGACGUCAAAGCGUAUACAAAGUCGAGUCGGUUUA
rnacentral:rRNA from 1 species